rnacentral:rRNA from 1 species
CAGCAGCCGCGGUAAUACGUAGGGUGCAAGCGUUAAUCGGAAUUACUGGGCGUAAAGCGUGCGUAGGCGGUUUGUUAAGUCAGAUGUGAAAUCCCCGGGCUCAACCUGGGAACUGCAUUUGUGACUGGCAAGCUAGAGUAUGGCAGAGGGGGGUGGAAUUCCGCGUGUAGCAGUGAAAUGCGUAGAUAUGCGGAGGAACACCGAUGGCGAAGGCAGCCCCCUGGGCCAAUACUGACGCUCAUGCACGAAAGCGUGGGGAGCAAACAGGAUUAGAGACCCGCGUAGUCCCUGUCUCUUAUAA